rnacentral:tRNA from 1 species
UGGGGCGUGGCCAAGUGGUAUGGCAACGGUUUUAGAUCCCGUUAAUCGGAGGUUCGAAUCCUUUUGCCCCAA